rnacentral:rRNA from 1 species
GAUCUCAAAUCAAGUAAGACUACCCGCUGAACUUAAGCAUAUCAAUAAGCGGAGGAAAAGAAACUAACAAGGAUUCCCCUAGUAACGGCGAGUGAAGCGGGAUGAGCUCAAAUUUAAAAUCUGGCUGGUUUACUAGUCCGAGUUGUAGUUUAAAGAAGCGUUUUCGGUGGCAGUCUCGGUAUAAAUCCUUUGGAACAGGGUAUCAUAGAGGGUGAGAAUCCCGUCUUUGACUGAGAAUAUGCUACUAUGUGAUACGUUUUCAAAGAGUCGAGUUGUUUGGGAAUGCAGCUCAAAAUGGGUGGUAAAUUUCAUCUAAAGCUAAAUAUUGGCGAGAGACCGAUAGCGAACAAGUACCGUGAGGGAAAGAUGAAAAGAACUUUGAAAAGAGAGUUAAACAGUGCGUGAAAUUGUUGAAAGGGAAACGCUUGAAACCAG